UGUGGGGCUGGAAGGGACCUCACAAGGUCAUCCAGUGCAGCCCCUUGCUCAAGGCAGGAUUAUCCAUGACUAAACCAUACCAGCCACGUGUCUGUUCAACCUGCUUUUGAUAGUAUCUAAGAGUGCAGAAUCUAU